UGUGAUGUUGUUGCUCAGCAAGUAUGAAAACAGUAGUUUGCAAGGUGGAGUUAUCCUUUCCAGCCUUUAAGUAGGGUAAUUAUGAGGAGUAAUAGAGACAGAUAAUGAUAAGAAAAGCAUGCGAUGUCUCCGUUGAAGCGUUGAAGGCGUUUGGCAGAGUCUAAACUAUGAGACCUGAGCUAAUAGCUCUGAGACGGUCAAGUCGCUCUAAUCCUCUUCCGUACACUCUGGAAUCUCUUUUACCUCAGGAAUCUGUCAGCGCGCAGUGAGUCAGGGAAUUCUGACUCCGAGGAUCGGGCCUCUGGCGGGAUCCUGUUUCGAUACUCUUUCACACAAAGUGCUUCAAGAGUCCAGGACGCGUCAUUAGACUCCCCAGGCUCCUGGGGCCGAAGCUUCAGAUGUUUGUUUUCCUUUAACAGAUCUCACAAGAUGGAGGGAAAUCUACUAAAGCCUGAAUGAAGCCCCUGGAAGAUUUGCAGUAUGUUAGCAAAACUUGUCAUUAUUAUCUUAAAGAAAAAAGCAAAAUAAAAAUCUAAUAAUUUUCCUAAAUGAAGUUGACUUCUGGUUCAAGUCUUCUCUGGAUCCCCAGAACCAGCACAAAACAUGGAGAAGCAGCAUUCAGCUUCUCCAUGUUUCAACACUAAUCAACAUAUUUGAUGUGUAUGGAUAAUGUUUUUUAUGAUGGCCCUUGACAAGAUGUAGAGUUUAUUGCUUACAUCUGGUGACUGUAUGAUGUUUUUAUGACACAAUUUGAACUGCCUUGUUGCAGAAAUGUGCAAUACAAAUAGGUAAACUCGAACUUAAGCUUGACUUAGUGGAGUCUGAAACGUUUCUGUCAGUAUUUAUAGAAACUGAUCAAUUUUAGUAAGAGUUAACGGCUUAAAAAAAGAGCUAAUUUAUAGACAAAAUACCUAUAAAAAAAUUCUAAAAGUAAAAGUCUGUUCCUUUUAGGAUAUACUGAAUUACUUUAUUAUCCUCUCCCAAAGAUACAGACUUUCUUACUAAUAUUUAAUGUCAUUCUCUUACAAAGUUUUUCUUUGAUCUUUCAUAUUGUGCCUGAAGCUCCUGUUCUAUAUUUCUGAUCCACUUCAAAUCUUGGAUCAGAUUUAUCUAUUUGUGUUCAAUCUGUCUCGUAAAGUUCAUUGAACUGAUGUCUUUAGUAAAUAGAAUAACAUUAACUGAAUAAUUAGACUAGUACAUAAACAAUGACAACAUACUAGACUGUAUGUGCCGAAGACAAGAAAAAACAUCAAGUACCAUCCAGUUGUAUGAAAAGAUUUUUUUAAAUAUUAGAACAUGAUAUAAUAAAUUAAU